GUUUUUAUAGUGUAAAAUUAACACGUUACAUUUUCGUUGUAAAGCUGAAAAAUUCUUUUUUCUAAAAACU
rnacentral:tRNA from 1 species